rnacentral:rRNA from 1 species
UAGGGAAUAUUGGGCAUGGUCGGAAGACUGACCAGCCAUGCCGCGUGCAGGAAGAAGGCCUCUGGGUUGUAAACUGCUUUUGAAGGGAAGCGGUACCUGUAGAAUAAGCACCGGCUAACUCCGUGCCAGCAGCCGCGGUAAUACGGAGGGUGCGAGCGUUGUCCGGAUUUAUUGGGUUUAAAGGGUGCGUAGGCGGCUUAUUAAGUCAGUGGUGAAACCGACAGUUAACUGUUGAAUGCCAUUGAUACUGUGAGCUUGAGUGCAGACGAGGUAGGCGGAAUUGAUAGUGUAGCGGUGAAUCAUAGAUACUAUCAGGAACACCGAUUGCGAAGGCAGCUUACUAGGUUGCAACUGACGCUGAGGCACGAAGUGUGGGGAUCAAACAGGAUUAGAUACCCUAGUAGU